UUGCGNNUGGGCGAAAGCCUGACGCAGCGACGCCGCGUGGGGGAUGAAGCUUCUCGGAGUGUAAACCCCUUUCGACUGGGACGAAUGCCCGCAAGGGAGUGACGGUACCAGUAGAAGAAGCCCCGGCUAACUACGUGCCAGCAGCCGCGGUAAGACGUAGGGGGCCAGCGUUGUUCGGAAUUACUGGGUGUAAAGGGUUCGUAGGCGGUGUGGCAAGUCGGGAGUGAAAUCUCUGGGCUCAACUCAGAGGCUGCUUCCGAAACUGCUGUGCUUGAGUGUGGGAGAGGCGCGUGGAAUUGCAGGUGUAGCGGUGAAAUGCGUAGAUAUCUGCAGGAACACCCGUGGCGAAAGCGGCGCGCUGGACCACAACUGACGCUGAGGAACGAAAGCUAGGGGAGCAAACAGGAUUAGAUACCCUGGUAGUCCUAGCCCUAAACGAUCAGGACUUGGGGUGCCGCCCGUUCGGGCGUCGUCCCGGAGCUAACGCGUUAAGUCCUGCACCUGGGGAGUACGGUCGCAAGACUGAAACUCAAAGAAAUUGACGGA
rnacentral:rRNA from 1 species